UUACCCUACGGGAGGCAGCAGUGGGGAAUAUUGGGCAAUGGGCGCAAGCCUGACCCAGCAACGCCGCGUGAAGGAAGAAGGCUUUCGGGUUGUAAACUUCUUUUGUCAGGGACGAAGCAAGUGACGGUACCUGACGAAUAAGCCACGGCUAACUACGUGCCAGCAGCCGCGGUAAUACGUAGGUGGCAAGCGUUAUCCGGAUUUACUGGGUGUAAAGGGCGUGUAGGCGGGCAUGCAAGCCAGAAGUGAAAUCUGGGGGCUUAACCCCCAAACUGCUUUUGGAACUGCGUGUCUUGAGUGAUGGA
rnacentral:rRNA from 1 species